rnacentral:rRNA from 1 species
CAAUCUAUACUGUGAAACUGCGAAUGGCUCAUUAAAUCAGUUAUCGUUUAUUUGAUAGUACCUUACUACUUGGAUAACCGUGGUAAUUCUAGAGCUAAUACAUGCUAAAAACCCCGACUUCGGAAGGGGUGUAUUUAUUAGAUAAAAAACCAAUGCCCUUCGGGGCUCCUUGGUGAAUCAUGAUAACUUAACGAAUCGCAUGGCCUUGUGCCGGCGAUGGUUCAUUCAAAUUUCUGCCCUAUCAACUUUCGAUUGUAGGAUAGAGGCCUACAAUGGUUUCAACGGGUAACGGGGAAUUAGGGUUCUAUUCCGGAGAGGGAGCCUGAGAAACGGCUACCACAUCCAAGGAAGGCAGCAGGCGCGCAAAUUACCCAAUCCCGAUACGGGGAGGUAGUGACAAUAAAUACUGAUACAGGGCUCUUUUGGGUCUUGUAAUUGGAAUGAGUACAAUUUAAAUCUCUUAACGAGGAACAAUUGGAGGGCAAGUCUGGUGCCAGCAGCCGCGGUAAUUCCAGCUCCAAUAGCGUAUAUUAAAGUUGUUGCAGUUAAAAAGCUCGUAGUUGAACCUUGGGCCUGGCUGGCCGGUCUGCCUCACCGCAUGUACUGGUUCGGCCGGGUCUUUCCUCCUGGGGAUCCGCAUGCCCUUCACUGGGUGUGUUGGGGAACCAGGACUUUUACUUUGAAAAAAUUAGAGUGUUCAAAGCAGGCCUUUGCUCGAAUACAUUAGCAUGGAAUAAUAGAAUAGGACGUGCGGUCCUAUUUUGUUGGUUUCUAGGACCGCCGUAAUGAUUAAUAGGGAUAGUCGGGGGCAUCAGUAUUCAGUUGUCAGAGGUGAAAUUCUUGGAUUUACUGAAGACUAACUACUGCGAAAGCAUUUGCCAAGGAUGUUUUCAUUAAUCAGUGAACGAAAGUUAGGGGAUCGAAGACGAUCAGAUACCGUCGUAGUCUUAACCGUAAACUAUGCCGACUAGGGAUCGGGC